AUUGAACGCUGGCGGCAGGCCUAACACAUGCAAGUCGAACGAGUGGCGGACGGGUGAGUAAUGUCUGGGAAACUGCCCGAUGGAGGGGGAUAACUACUGGAAACGGUAGCUAAUACCGCGUACCAUCGGAUGUGCCCAGAUGGGAUGAGCUUGUUGGUGGGGUAACGGCUAACCAAGGCUACGAUCCCUAGCUGGUCUGAGAGGAUGCCCAGGAAGACUGGAAAGUAGACACGGUCGAGACUCCUACGGGAGGCAGCAGUGGGUAAGUUUGCAGAAUGGGCGCAAGUCUGAUGCAGCCAUGCCGAGGGUAGGAAGAAGGCCUUCGGGUUGUAAAGUACUUUCAGCGGGGAGGCGUUACACGCAGAAGAAGCACCGGCUAACUCCGUGCAAGCAGCCGCGGUAAGAC
rnacentral:rRNA from 1 species